rnacentral:misc_RNA from 1 species
GCAGCUGCAAUAACAAAAACGAAGGCUGACUACCAUCAUGGAGACACCAGUGUUCACGUCAUGAAUGCGUUGCCUAAGAGCUCAGAAGCCAUGCAUAUUAGCUGCUCCUCCAAGAAUACAAGUCUUGAACAUCAGGAGCUGGGUCCUGGUGAGGAAUAGCGAUGGAAAGUCGAAGAAAGAUCUUUGUAUGUGUGUUAUUCAGUGUGGACACGCUUGUUUCAGAGAUGGCAUGCGUUUCAGCCACGCAGAGAUGAGAAUCAUAGAGAGGUGUUUUGGGUGGUGAAGGAAGAUGGGUUCUAUCUUAGCUGGGAUAAAUCCACUUGGGUGAGAAAAGCUGUAUGGGAAUCCGAGUGAUUUUGGAACGAAAAUUUAUACAAUAUAGGUGAAAUGG